UUUUAGGGAUGGUUUGGAGUCAUAUACUUAUCACUUCGUCAGUUUAUCAGGAUAUUUAUCAUUCUGGAAAUCAAAAAAGUAUGUAGAGACUAACCUUACAUGCUCUUUUGAAAAUGUGUCUCACUGACAGUUAAUGGGUGUAGUUCUUUUGGUGGGGGAGAGCUAGAACUCUUUCUUUGGUCACUAACAGAGCACUGCAACAGAGGUGACCUAAGAGUAAAAUCUCAAGCUGUCUGUGGCUUCUGAUUGACUUUAAUACAAUUAGUACAAAGAUCUUCCCAACACUCUGAAUGAAUAAGGAAUUAAAAAUUCAUUGGAUGGAGGAUUGGGUAGAUAGGCAGAUGGAUAGAAGCUAAUAUAUUCAGGCCUUUGGCUAGCAUAUUCAUAUUUCUUGGAGGUUUUCUAACAAGAUACUCUGUAAGAGAACCUGGCUAUCCAUAGUUUACAACAAACCUAGGUCCACCCCAGGAACCCUGGCUAGGGACUGUGACGUGGCUGUCUGGUUUUCUGGGCCUGUGGGAGGCAUCACAUAGGCUAAUCCUUGUCAUGAGAUGUCUUCUAUCAUAUCCCCUAACCAGGCAGGGCCAGAAGACAUAUCCUUCUCAGGUGGAGGCCCAGCCACUUGCUGGCAAAUUUUUUCACAGAAGGACAUUCAAAACUCUGAGAGAUAUGUCAAAAGUUUCUAGAGGUUUCCAGUAGGCUCUGAGCUCUGCAUUUUUGUCACAGAGGGAGGGAGGAAAUCAUGGAACAACUUUAAUCUUAUUCUACAUACAAAGUAAUUGCUUGUACUUAAAAAAAAAAAAAAAUCCUGGAUUGGUCUGUCUGAUUUUAUUAAGGCUUUCAGAGUGGCACGUUUUAAUUCCUUUGCUGUUUCCAUGUAGUGCUAUUGUAUUUACUUGCUAAAGCAGAGAACAGAAAAGAACAUGACAUUCCAAAAUAUACUCUUUCCCAUGAUAUGCCCUUCCUCUGUCAGCAUGGGGUACCUUUACUUCACUUUUUUCCCCUACACAGCUGCAUAAAUUAAGACAGGAAUCAGCUGACUACACUGCCUCUUUUU
rnacentral:lncRNA from 1 species